UGACCUCAAAUCAGGUAGGAUUACCCGCUGAACUUAAGCAUAUCAAUAAGCGGAGGAAAAGAAACUAACAAGGAUUCCCUUAGUAACUGCGAGUGAAGUGGGAAAAGCUCAAAUUUAAAAUCUGGCAGUCUGAUUUUAUAUCUUUGGCUGUCCGAGUUGUAAUCUAGAGAAGUGCUACCUGUACUGGACCAUGUAUAAGUCUCCUGGGAUGGAGCAUCAUAGAGGGUGAGAAUCCCGUCUUUGACAUGGACUGCCAGUGUGUUGUGGUGUACUUUCAAAGAGUCGAGUUGUUUGGGAAUGCAGCUCUAAAUGGGUGGUAAACUCCAUCUAA
rnacentral:rRNA from 1 species